UGACCCCGUGCGGGAGAGUCCUCCAGACUUCAUAGGAGGCGCCGAAGGAGCAAAUCCUCCCCGGAAUCUCUCAGGCCCACGUACCGCACGGACGAG
rfam:Streptomyces sp. RV15 genomic scaffold PRJNA299236_s019, whole genome shotgun sequence.